GACGAACGCUGGCGGCGUGCUUAACACAUGCAAGUCGAACGGGCCUGUCUUCUUUUUUGGGGGUGGGUUGAGUGGCGAACGGGUGAGUAUCACGUGAGUAACCUGCCCUUCGGUCCUGGAUAACCGCUUGAAAGGGCGGCUAAUACGGGGUGGUCCGGUUGGUCCGCAUGGGCUGGUCGGGAUAGAUUCACUGUUUUUGGUGUUUCGGCGGGGGAUGGGCUCGCGGCCUAUCAGCUUGUUGGUGGGGUGAUGGCCCACCAAGGCGGUGACGGGUAGCCGGGCUGGGAGGGUGGGCGGCCACACUGGGACUGAGAUACGGCCCAGACUCCUGCGGGAGGCAGCAGUGGGGGGUAUUGCACAAUGGGCGGAAGCCUGAUGCAGCGACGUCGCGUGAGGGAUGGAGGCCUUCGGGUUGUGAACCUCUGUUUCCGGUGGUGAAGGCCCUGUCCGUGUGGUGGGGUUGACGGUAGCCGGGGAUGAAGCGCCGGCUAACUACGUG
rnacentral:rRNA from 1 species